rnacentral:rRNA from 1 species
GACGAACGCUGGCGGCGUGCCUAAUACAUGCAAGUUGAGCGCUGAAGGUUGGUACUUGUACCGACUGGAUGAGCAGCGAACGGGUGAGUAACGCGUGGGGAAUCUGCCUUUGAGCGGGGGACAACAUUUGGAAACGAAUGCUAAUACCGCAUAAAAACUUUAAACACAAGUUUUAAGUUUGAAAGAUGCAAUUGCAUCACUCAAAGAUGAUCCCGCGUUGUAUUAGCUAGUUGGUGAGGUAAAGGCUCACCAAGGCGAUGAUACAUAGCCGACCGGAGAGGGUGAUCGGCCACAUUGGGACUGAGACACGGCCCAAACUCCUACGGGAGGCAGCAGUAGGGAAUCUUCGGCAAUGGACGAAAGUCUGACCGAGCAACGCCGCGUGAGUGAAGAAGGUUUUCGGAUCGUAAAACUCUGUUGGUAGAGAAGAACGUUGGUGAGAGUGGAAAGCUCAUCAAGUGACGGUAACUACCCAGAAAGGGACGGCUAACUACGUG